rnacentral:lncRNA from 1 species
CGGAGGCUGCGGCUUCUCGCAGCACUGGCACUGCAGCUGAGGCGGGCACUGCCAUGGCCAGCUCUGGCACAUCCCGGCGUUCGGCGGCAGCGGGUACGGGUACGGCACAAACUUGUACUGUGUUUUCGGCGCCGGCGGCGGCUUAGGCUUAUCCUCAGGCGGCUUAGGCUUUGGUUCCUCAGGCUUAGGCUUGGGCUUGCAGUGCUCGCAGUCACAGCAUUUGUCAGGCUUGGGCUUGCAGUGCUCACAGCAGCAACAUUUCUCAGGCUUGGGAUCCUCAGGCUUGGGUGGCUUGGGUGGAAUCGGCCAGACGUCCACGAUGAUGAUCUCCUUCACGACCUUAUUCCCGGCCUUGCACCAGACCUUCUUGCAGAGCUUCUCGGGGUCGAAUUUCCCGCGCACCACCACCACCUUCUUCUCCUUCUUGUCCUCGAACUCCACCUUCUCGAUGCAGAACUCCUCUGCAUAUCAAUUGGAAAACAAAAGAUAAUUGACUGGCCGAUUUGUUGUUGCAAGCACAGAUCAGAAUUCAGACUCGUAAGCUAGUAGUUGUACUUGUAGUCUUGUUAAUAUACAUGCUAAAAUGUACCUUUGAGGCUGUCCAGGACCUUGGUGAUCUUGGCUCUGCAGCGACAGCAGUCUAGGUCCACCGUAAUCACCAGUAUACCCAUCUGCAAACAAACAUAUGCAUGUGAAACAAAUAGUAUUGGCGAAUUGCCGAACAGAAAGUAGCAGAGCAUGAAAUUCAAAAGAAGUAGCAGAGCAUCGGCACAUCUCCUGCAAUCCAUUCAAGUGAAAAAGAACCCCAAAAAAAAAAACAUGUGCCAUGAAUCUCUUGCUCUUAGUCAUCCUUACUUUACUCUGAGUAGUUUGGUAAGGAGCUAGCUGAAACGAAAUUAUGCUUCUUUUCCUGGGUAACAAACACGAGUGCUACAACAUACGUCCAAUCCAGUAAUAUGCGGCGAAUGCAGCAGUGAAAGGACAGUUGAAAGAUUUGAGCUUACCUUUUGAGCUAUGGGAGUUGCCCGAUGAGCAAGAGAGGAGUACUUCUUAAGGUGGAUGGGUUUGGGGGACGGUUAUAUAUAUAUAUAUAUAUAUAUUUUAUACAAUAUACUGAAGCAGAGGCAGAGCUAAGCCUUGUGUGACGCAUGUUGGAUUGGAUCACAUCUUGAUAAUGCUGAUGAGACGGGGAAAGGGCUCCUGGACCUGCUGUUUGGCUGGGACUGGUCCUUCACGAAAUGUGUCUAGCUACUCUCCCUCUCUCCCGUCAUUUUCUAGCGAAACUUCGAAUAUGGAACGGUCUCUUUCAAGACUUUGGAGUGGGGGUACAAAUGUACAAUACAAUCCCGCUGCAACUCUCGUGCAAGGCUCAAGUGCUGCGGUGCUGCUCCCUCCUCGAAUUCCACCGACGCGCGCAGUGACAGGGGUCACCGUGGCCAAGGUCCGCAAGCAGUCGAGGAGGUCGGCGAGCUCUGCCUCUGACGACGGCGCGCGCGGCCACGAGACAGUCCAGGCUAAACACUUGAACCAACUCCUCGGACGUAUUUUGGCAGAGCUUUGAUCGACUACGUACCCAACUGACACUCUGCUACCUGGUGCAAAAUUGGGCGGAAACAAAGGUCACCGGUCUGAACCGCCGUUUUGUUUAUUUCAAGGAGGAAUUUGAAUGACCCCAAGCUCCUGGUGUUUAUUCCACUGGCCUAGCUCCUGGCCUUGAUGAGACCAUGAGGCUGUCAUGGAAAUCAUCUACAGAGUAUUGGUAUUCUGGAGAGUGGAAUGGGAGAUACUUCGUUCAUUGCAAUACCCGAUCGAGAUGUCGGAUCCCGCUUACUGCAAUUAUAUGUUUGUUAACAAUGACCAAGAGUUCUACUUCUCCUACACCUUGGUGAACGAGAGCACAAUAUUUCAGGUUGUGUUAGAUGUCUCUGGUGUUGGAACAAGGUGUCUCCAACGCGCCAGGAACGAACGCCGGCGAGUGCGUGGUCACCGCGGCGAGAACGAACACGAAGACAACUUAACGAGAUGACGAUCAGACUUAGUUGCUGCCACAACCGCAGCGCAUUUGGUCGUUUAUUCCUUGCUUUUAUAGCAGACACAGGCUUGCACAAUCCAAGCCCCCCACACCAUGUCGUACAAAGUGCCAUGCAUCGUUACAACUCCGAUGCGUGCCACGUGCGCUCGGUACGCCAUGGCGAGAGUCCUAUACCGACCCGGGCUGACCGUGAUCUUGCACGCCUAAGAUCAUGUCUGCCCCUAACCUGACUGACUCAACUGAAACAAAGAUUUCAAGAUAUCGUGCACAAGUUUAGCUAACUAACAAAUCACUCCCUAAACUUGAUGCACAUCUACGACCCCUAGAGCACUCCUGAGUUCUACAAACUUGACCCGCCCCAGCGCCUUCGUCAAGAUGUCGGCCAGCUGCUCCGCAGUCCGGACGUGAUCAACUUCCACCUUUCCAUCCUCAAUGCAUUCACGCAAGAAGUGAUACCUCUUAUCAAUGUGCUUGCUGCGAUCGUGAUGCACCGGAUUCCUGCUAAGCGCGAUUGCAGACAUAUUAUCCAUGAGUAGCUUCACCAUCGUCUCCUUUGUUCCCAGUAUAUCUGAGAUCAAUCGGCAUAACUAUAUCCCUUGGCACGCUGCUGCUGCUCCUGUCACGUACUCGACUUCACAGGAGGAUAGCGCCACGAUCUUCUGCUUCUGUGAAGUCUAGGUGACCAAGCUCUCACCUAGAAAGUAGCCAACACCCGAAGUGCUCUUCCUGUCCACCACAUCACCUGCGAAGUCACUGUCGCUAUAGCCCACUAGAACAGGCUUCAGCUCAGUUCCUCUCUCGUACUUGCAGCCAUACCCCAAAGUCCCCUUCAAGUACCUUAGGAUAUGCUUGACUACCGCCCAAUGUUGCUUACCGGGAGCCUCCAUGUAUCGACUAACCACACCCACUGCAUAUGCCAAAUCUGGCCGGGUGUUUACCAAAUACCUCAAACUCCCAAUCAGGCUUCUAUACGCCGUUGCAUCCACGGCUUCUCCCUCCUUUUGCUUGUUGAGCUUCACCCAACACUCCAUAGGUGUCUCACAUGGAUUACAACCACUCAUACCUGCUACUCCAAGGAUCCUAGCGGCAUAUGAGCUCUGACAGAGAGUGACUCCACCCUCUCCUUGUGUUACCUCAAUACCUAGAUAGUAAGUUAACAGGCUCAAGUCACUCAUACUAAAAUUCUUCUUCAUCUCUAACUUGAAACUUCUGAUAUCACUCACCCUAUGCCCCGAGAUGAUCAAAUCAUCCACGUACACUCCCACAAGUAGAAAAGAGCUCUUGCUAUUUUGUCUAUAAACAACAUGAUCCAACUUGCUUCUGACAAAACCCAGAGCAACCAGUUCACUGUCAAGUUUUGAAUUCCACACCCUCGGUGCUUGCUUUAACCCAUAGAGUGCUUUUCUGAGCUUGAGAACUUUUGUACCAUCACCCACUAUGAAACCUGGAGGCUGUUGCACGUACACAGUCUCAAUGAGAUCACCAUUCACGAAAGUCGAUUUCACAUCCAUAUGGUGAACUUCCCAACCACCUUGAGCUGCUAAUGGCAACAACACUCUUACAGUCUCUAACCUGGCUACCGGCACAAAAACUUCAUCAAAAUCCACUCCAUGUCGUUGUGCAUAACCUUUCGCUACCAGAUGUGCUUUAUGCUUGACAACUUUACCGCUUGGAUCUUUCUUAACCUUGAAAACCCAUUUCAGGCCAAUUGCUUUGUGCUUCGGUGGCAACACACUGACAUCCCAAGUGCGAUUUGCCUUUAUAGCCUGCAUCUCUGACCGCAUUGCUUGCCGCCAACAUUCUUCCGACAUAGCCUCCCCGACUAUCCUCGGUUCUUCUACCGUACCUAGACAAAUCCCGCUGUACUCGAACUCCUGUAUUUCUUCUGUGCUGUCAAGUAGAUUAGGAAUCGUUUGGUUCCUUAGUGGCGCGCCAUCAGAGUGAACUGAUCCGUCUGUAGGUGGGGUCGCCCAUUGAAUCAUCGGUCCUCCAUGACUUGAGAUCGGGGUGUGUGGUGACCCUCGAGCAUCACCCCCACCACUGGAAUUGUAACAGCAGGCAAAACAGGCUCAUCAUCAACGUCAAGUCCUAUUGCCGGACCAUGAAUAGUAGCAUCUUCAGCAUACCCCUAAACUGUAAACGUAUUAGGCACUGCUGCUACCUUUGUUCCCUCAUUUGUGCUGCCUGCUUUUCCUCCCCAAUUCCAUGGUCUCUCUUCAUCGAAGAUAACAUCAUGUGAAACCAUCAGUUGCUUGUUCACAGGAUCAUAAAUACGAUACCCUUUUGUCCUAGGCUCAUACCCAAGAAAGACACCUAGAAUCGCCCUGUUAGUCAACUUGCUCACCCCGGGUCCAACAUGCUUCGCAUAUGUUGUACAGUCGAAAGUUUGAAGGUGCUUAACCCCUAGUCUCUUACCAAACUAGGCCUCAAAAGGAGUCUUCCCACUCAGACUCUUGGUUGGGGAUCUGUUUAGUAUAUAAACCACAGUUUUGACUGCUUCACCCCAGAACAGCGACGACACAUCCAUGCUCUUGAGUAGACACCUCACCAUUUCCACCACCGUUUGAUUCCUCCUUUCUACGAUGCCAUUUUGUUGUGGAGAAUAUGGAGUAGUGGUGUUGUGUCUUAUCCCAUGCUCACUGCAGAAAACCAUAAAGGCUCCUGAGUUGAACUCCCCACCUCGGUCUGUCCUGACUGCCCUCAGACGAUGGCCAGAUUCCAACUCCGCCACUGCUUUGAACUUCUUCAGGUAGCCUAGAGCUUCGUCCUUUGUUGCCAAAAGUUCAAGCCACAUAUAAUGGCUGUAGUCAUCGACAAUAAGGAGGAAAUAUGACUUCCCUCCUGGUGUGGUCGGUGUAAUCUGCCCACACAAAUCAGUGUGAACCAGCUCAAGUCCUGCUGAUGCACGGUAGGCCGAGACCUAUGGAAACGGUGUCUGAUGUUGUUUACCCAACACGAUCCAUUACACACCUGCUCUGACUUUUUAAUGAUCGGUAUACCUUCCACCAUCCCCUUUACCCCAAGCUCUCGCAGUGACCUGAAGUUGAGAUGUCUGAAACACGCGUGCCAGCGCCAAGCUACCCCGUCCAUCUUUGUUAAUAGACACACAGGUGAAGUCAACUUCACCUUCAUGACAUACAGACGAUUCUUGCGCUCUGCCCAUAUCAGCAUAGUCCUCCGCACUCCCGCCUGCUCUCGAUCGAACACCUCUAUUACACCUUUAUCGAUUUCAACACGACAACCUCCUUCUUCCAGUUGCCCUAUACUCACAAUGUUGCAUCUGAGAGAUGGAAUACAAUAAACCUCUGUCAGUACCCGGUGUUCAACAUUCCUCCCUAAGAUUGUUACAGCACCAAUCCUGCAGAUUUCCACCGUAGAGCCAUCCCCGAAUCUCACUUCUCCUCGCACGGACUCGUCUAGACUUGCCAGUGAGUCACAGCCUAUAAUAUGAUUCGUGGCGCCCGUGUCGAGUACCCAAGCACCUUGCUCGUACUUGAAGGGAAACACAUGUUCCUGGUUUAGGAACAGCCGAGGUGCUUCUACAUUCGUUGUGCGAACAAUAUUGCAGACCUAAGCCACAAGAAGCGCCGACACAGCAUCAGUUUUAGUAUUAGCUACCUCCCCCUGAUAUUCCUUCGCCUUCUUCUUGUUUGGGCACUCCUUGCCCCAAUGCCCAUAUACACCACACUUCCUGCACUUCCCUUUACGACGUGGUAGUCUUGUUGAGCCAUGACCAUCGCCAUGAUCACGUCUAUCACGCUCAGUCUUGCCAGCACCACCACGCACACUAGAUCGCUCUUUCUUGACAUACUAUCCUCCCUUCCUAUUUCUCGAGCCAAAUGACUCGGCUGACACCAUGCGGCUCUUGUUUCUCGACGCUCACUCUUCUUCCGUGGGCAACAAACGACCAGCCUUAUCGGUGACCCUUUCACCAGUAGAUUCAAACCGAUCUUCAGCCACCCGAAGACAACCUACUAGAUUUUCAAGUGAUAAUUCCUUUAGGUCAUGAAACAUCUCCAUUUACACCGCCACUUGAUCAUAUUUGGAUGGCACCACCCUGAGGAACUUCUUGACAACUCGUGCAUCAUCGACUGAUUUCUCACCGAGACUGCGCAAGUGUGUUGCCAACUUGGAUAUCCUCACCACAAACUCAUCGAUAGUUUCACCAGGUUUGAACGAAAUUGACUCAAACUCAGAAAGCAGCUUUUGUGCGUUUACCUCUUUCACCCUCUCCACACCCAAACGCAUCGAUUUGAUAGCCUCACAUGCCUCCUUCGCUGACUUCUUGUUUAGUAGCAUAGAGUGCAUAUCGGGGGGUACGCCAUGCAAGAUGGCUCCCAAGGCGAGCCGAUCAUGUCUUCGCUCCACCUUGUCAGAUUCGAUCGCAUCCCAUAGGUACAUGGCUUUGAGAUUGCACUGAACAUGAGAAGACCACUCUUGAUAGUUCGACUGGGACAGGGUCGGCUAGAUCAGAUUGCCUGCGACCUGGUUUCAUGCCCGCUCCAUCUUCUCCAUGUCACUGUUGCUUCACAUGACGACGAUUGUAGAUGUUCACGCCUCCUCCUUCUCGAUCCCGGUGAUCUAGAUCACCUGGCCUUCUAUUCAAGUUCUCUCCGCCACCAAACACCACCUUCCCCAGCUUUCCAUGGCUCUGAUACCCUGUGUUGGAAUAAGGUGUCUCCAACGCGCUAGGAAUGAACGCCGACAAGUGUGUGGUCACCACGGUGAGAACGAACACGAAGACAACUUAAUGAGAUGACGAUCAGAUUUAGUUGCUGCCACAGCCACAGUGCAUUUGGUCGUUUAUUCCUUGCUUUUAUAGCAGACACAGGCUUGCAGAAUCCAAGCCCCCCACGCCAUGUCGUACAAAGUGCCCGCAUCGUUACAACUCGAUGUGUGUCGCGUGCACUCGGCAUACCAUGGCGAGAGUCCUAUACCGACCCGGGCUAACCGUGAUCUUGAAUGCCUAAGAUCACGUCUGCCCCUAACCUGACUGAUUCAACUGAAAUAAAGAUUACAAGAUAUCAUGCACAAGUUUAGCUAACUAACAUCAAGUCAAUGGAAGGUGCAAAGUGGGAAAGACCAUAAACAUGGGAUGAUCAUCAGUGUUAGUGUAGUUGUGGGUGUAAGCACUGUCAUCACCUUAGCGUUCAUCUUCCUAAUUGUGAUCUGGAGAAGCAAUAAGGUAUGUUGAUAUAAAACGUGCAAGUAACAAUUUCUCAGAGAAGUUAGGUCCAGGUGGUUUGGGUUCUGUAUUUAAGUGGUGCCUAAGUGAGUCGGUUGCCCACCAGGAAGAGAAGCAGUUCAGGUCUGAGGUGAGCUCGAUAGCCAUCAUUUAGCAUGCUACUUUGGUUAAACUUGUCGGGUUUUGUUGUGAAGGUGAUAGGAGGCUACAUGUGUAUGUGCACACGACAAACCGUUCCCUUAACGUCCAUCUGUUCCAGAGCCAUGGUACCAUUUUGGGUUGGAACAUUAGAUAUCUGAUAGCUCUUGGUGUUGCUAGAGAGAUAGCAUACUUGCAUCACAGCUGUUAAGACUGCAUAAUACAUUGUGAAAUCAAACCACAAAACAUACUUCUUGAUGCAUAUUUUAUUCCAAAAAUAGCAGAUUUUGGAAUGACUAAGUUUUAGUUGUGUUCUAACUACAACGAUGAGGAACUAUUGGGUGCAUUGCUCCUAUGUAUUAGUGGAACAACUAUUACAUCGGAAGUUGAUGUCUAGAGCUACGGGAUGGUUUUGAUGGAGAUCACAUCAUGAAGGAGGAACUUGGGUAAGGAAGCAUUUGCUGAUGAUGACCAUGCUAACUGUUUUCAUGUGCAAGUCAUGGACAAGCUUCUCAAUGGAGGCAUUCGAAGCCUUGUGGAUGCAAACUUGGGUGGCGAGUAAACCAUAGAUGAUGUUGAAAGAGACCGCAAGGUUGCAUGUUGGUUCAUUCAAGAUAAUGAAAUUGAUAACCCUACAAUGGAUGAGAGGUGAAGCUCAUGGGUAAUGGUGAUUCGGUGGGAGGGGAUGAUGAAGAUGGGCUUCGAGGAAAGUGUCACCAUGUCUUGGGGAAUAUCCAUCUAGAACGGUUUGGUCAGAGACGCUUUGUGGAGGGAGAUCGGCUUCGGGCUUGCUCUAUGGCUUAAGGUUGAAGAAGGUUCUUGGGGAGGUCCUCCUUGAUUCCGGUGAGGUUGAAGGUGUGGGUAAGGUGCAGUAGCUCGUCGGUGAACCAGACAAUCCUACCAACGGACAAGGAUUGCCUCCACGGGCGUGGGGAAAAUGCAAUAGCCUGUGGAGUCAAUCUUUAUCUAUUGGUGGGGUGGAUGCCAGCGGACAAUCGGAAAGCUUCUCCCAGCCUCUGCACACUUGAUUCUAGAGGGCGAACCAAACCCUGACAUUGACCCAGUCUCAUGCAUGGUUGUGGCCAGACCACUAGAGAGGUAGUAGCACUCGUCCAUGUCAGAUCCUCUAGCUCAAAGAUUGUAUUGUAGGACUCUUGACCCAUGUAGUGAUGAGGGCGACCAUGUUGUUGCUGGAGUUAGUGAACAGAAGGAAGGCGCGGAGGAGAUCAAGAUCCCAUGUGGUAACAAAGAUUUCUGAGAGGAAAGCCAAAUAGGGGUCCAAGACUGAUGGUGGCACAAUGGGAUGGCCCCACACUGUGAGUUUAGCGGAGAGGGAUAUGUAUUGGCUAUGGCCUCCGCCAUCUUCGUCGAUAGGAGAUGCCAUGGAUGGGCUCCUACAGGUGUUAGAUCCUGACCACACCUUAAUUAACGGUGAUGAUGGGAGGAGAGAUGGGCUGAGGAGCUAGUAGAAUCUUCCUCGACCUUGGUUGCAAGGCCAUUGAGUCAGAUCUCAGUGAGGGCGUCACCCGACGGACAUGUUUCAUUUUUUGUUUUUGUGGCGGACAGUCGUGUUACACAUGUGUUAGGUAAAUGCGGGACAACACGUGCCACCCAACCUAUUUAUCCUUGUUCUACACCCAACUCACCCCCACUCCAUGAGCUUGAAGAACCCAUUUGUACCCGUCUAGAUAAUUUUAAAUAAAAAACUGCCCCAUUAGCAGGCCUACUCUAGUCAAACACUUGAAUCUCACUUCUUAAUUUGGGUAGCUCUCCAAAUGCUUCACUAACCUCUCUUCAAUUGUUGGGUACAAUGGGUCAAAGAACAACCCUAAUAAGCUAGUGUAAUUCUUAUAUUGAGGGUAGAGAGGCUACUAACUGUUGAAAAAAGUUGGGAGGCUAAGAACAUUAGAUGAUCCGCUGGCUCAAAAAAUAUCCUGCCAGAUCAAUCCCUCCCUCUACACCUCGUACAUGGCACUGCCUUGGUUGAGUGGUGCCCAUCAAGUAUCAUCCCACUCUCGGUCUCUCCUCUCUCUCUCUCUCUCUCUCUCUCUGAAUCCCACCUGAAUCAACAAAUCUCAAAAUUUGUCAGAGAUCAUCUGGUGGUGUUGACCUUGUUGAUUCCAUUUAGAAGUGAAUAGCCAUCAGAUGUCCCAUACCCAAAUAAACAAGAAAAAUUUUGUUGUGGGACACUCCACUUAUGUGAAAUUGGCUGUAGGGUACUGAAAUAUUUUUUUUUUGUUAUGGGACACUAUUUUUUUUUUGUAGUACACCCCCCGGUAGAGCAAAUAAAAAAUUACAGUAUCCCCAACAAAUGGGACACCGAAACAAGUGAUCCACAGACGACUCCUUCCCACAAAACUUACAUACUGUUGUUCCAUCCCAGUUCCUUCUCUUCUGUUGUCAAGCAGUUCGGAUUCUAUCAUGCUAAGCCUCCAUAAAAAAUGUUUGAACCUUCAGAAGGAUUUUGGAUUUCCAGAUCUCCAUCAUUCUAACAUCAACCACUCCACUAAAGGUGAUAUAUCCGUACAGGCUUCUAGUGAAAAACUUUCCUGACUUCUCUAAUUUCCAAGUACACUAUCAUCCUCUUCUGACAAACUGACACUCCGCCAUAGGCUCAACAUGUCAGUCAUGACACUUGGCCCACGAACUACUGGACUAGCGUAUAACCGAUUGGUGGCUCUUCUUCCUCCUCCCUUUGUCUCGCUCGCUGCUCUAGGACUUUCAUGGCGGCACCGGUUACAGUUGCAGAUUGAGCGCAAGGAGAAGUAAAGGAUUAUUGCAGGCAUAAUUACGAAAUACUCGUACAAAGACAUGAAUAUCACAUUACAAAGUGCAAAUUACAGUUUAGUUUUGGAAGGUAGUACACCAGUACUAUAAAACAAGGGCAUUCUGGCAUAACACGUUCGUAUAACACACUGCAGGACGCAAACACAUCUGCACACGCACAGUAACUUCACUAUACAGAACAUAGUGUCGGAUUAUUCAGAUAUCGGAGGUCCAGUACCCAUCACAGCACAGCAACAGCGACAGGUGACGUUAAGCAGGUAGCCAUGGAUCACAUGACAGAGCACGAGUUCUCGUCGGCGACAACAUUGCAGCCUGCCCACGGUGGAGGCCAGACCGGCGGCUGCGGUGGCCAGACCGGCAGUGUCUGGCCGCAGCCACAGCUACCGUGGCUCGAACAGGUGCACGGUGGCCGCUGCGGCGGUGCCGGCGGCGGCGAAGGAGGCUUCUGGCAGCACUGGCACUGCUGGUGAGGAGGGCACUGCCACGGCCAGCUCUGGCACAUCCCAGGGUUCGGCACCAGGUACGGGUACGGCACGAACUUGUACUCCGUUUUGGGCGUCGCCGCCUUAGGCUUUUCCUCAGGCUUAGGCUUUUGCUCCUGCUUAGGCUUGGGCUUGCAGUGAUCACAGACACAGCAUUUCUCAGGCUUGGGCUUGCAGUGGUCACAGACACAGCAUUUCUCAGGCUUGGGAUUGCAAGGAUCGCAUGGCUUGGGUGGCUUGGGUGGAAUCGGCCAGACGUCCACGAUGAUGAUCUCCUUCACGACCUUACUCCCGGCCUUGCACCAGACCUUCUUGCAGAGCUUCUCGGCGUCGAAUUUCCCGCGCACCACCACCACCUUCUUCUCCUUCUUGUCCUCGAACUCCACCUUCUCGAUGCAGAAUUCCUCUGCACAUCAAUUGGAAAACAAAAGAUAAUUUGACUGCCCGAUUUGUUGUUGCAAGCACAGAUCAGAAUUCUGCCUCGUAAGCUAGUAGUUACAGUCUUAAUUAUGGUUAUUUAAUUAAACGCAGGAUUGUUCGGUAAUCUUCACGUUUCAUAUUAUGCCUAGACUGUGUGUGCUAAAACGUUUUCAGAUUCAGAUUGAUCAUUUGGUUUCAGAAGAAUCUUGCAAAGCAAGAUUGUUCAUACUUUCCUCUGCAAAACUGGGAAGCCCCAACGUCUUACCUUUAUUUGUUUCUUUCUUUAUUUUGUGAAAAUACGUUGCACUACAGCUUGAAUGAUAUCAGUUUCUUGGAGCAAGGAUUGUUCGUGGUCGUACUCUGCUUUCAUUCUAGGUCCAUAUGAAUGGCUGUAUUGUAUCUGUCUACAAUUGCAUCAUGGAAGUAUUCCCAUCUUUAUAUAGAUAGUAACAAAAAUGUACCUUUGAGACAGUCGAGGACUUUGGUGAUCUUGGCUCUACAGCGACAGCAGUCUAGGUCCACCGUAAUCACCAGUAUACCCAUCUGCAAACAAACAUGCAUGUGAAACAAAUAGUAUUGGCGAAUUGCCGAACAGAAAGUAGCAGAGCAUCAGCACAGCUCCUGCCAUCCUUUCAAGUGAAAAUCUAUGCUUUGGUAACGAUCUGAAACGAAAUGCUUCUUUUUCUG